AGAAUCCUCUCUUGCUAAUUGUUUGUUAUACAUAAUAACUACAUGUAUCGUAGUCAGUAGAUUGUGGUUUAAUAUUCUAAACUAUUUUUUUUAUAAACUACAAAUGUAUAAGUAGGUACUAAUUAAACUAACCUUUCUCUUUCGAGUUGAAGAAGUGCAAGAUUGGUGAGAACGUUGGCCAACAUGAUCAACUUCAUCGUCUUGCAUUUCAAGAUCGACAACGACUAUUUCCUUGGGUUUCUCUUCGUUAUCUUCCAGUGAUUUUCUCAUAGACUGUUGAACCUUGGAAGAAACAUUCGGGCAUGCACGUCUGGUUCCUUUCGACCCAGCCAAGUGAUGUUUCAUUCUGUUUAUUUCAAUUCCACCGUAUUAUUUAC
rnacentral:lncRNA from 1 species